UGGUUCCCCAUCUGUACAAUGGACCUUUGGGUUUGAUGCCUGAGGCUUGGUCUGGAGAUGAUUUCACCAAUUACUCCCAGAGUGACUCACAAGAUGUGGCAGCCACCCUGCCCCCAUGAGGCAAUGAGCUGGAGGUGAAAAGCCACCACCCAAAGAGUGGCAGAGCAAGAAGACAGGAGGAACCUGCGCCCUGAUGCCAAAGAGCUGUGGUGCCAACCUCCAACGUUCUUGUCGAGAGGUGGCCAAUGUCUGCGGCAUCUAAGUUACUGUUGUUUGGAUUUCUGGUGACCUGUAGCUGCAUAUCUCCCUAACUCACUCAGCCACCCUGUGGAAGGGCUGCUGAGGUGCCCAAAGCCUGGACCUUGGGAAAGCCACAUCCUGCAUCUGAGCUGCACAAGUGUCAACUGCGUCUUGUGUGUGAGCACUGCCACCACCAAGUAAACACCUCCGUUCUGGCCGGCAUCACCUCUCAAGCAUGGGUUAUUCUAGACCGCGGUCACCCGCCAAAACUCAGCCAUCAUGACCUCCCGUGGACACUGCAUGUUCUCUUCCCAAUUCACUCCAUCUGCUCCACUUACAGUAAACAUGUUUAUAAAGGAGACUUACAUCCCCACUAUCAGUGAAACACCAGUGUUGCUUGUUAUAAAAUGUUAUAAAAUAAAGCUAUUGUUCCGUUUUCUCCUCUC